GCAGGCCUCAUCGGUAGCAAUCGAUCCUGAUUUUUUUUUUACUUAGCAUUGUUCUCUCCAGUGGGUUGCCGCCUCCAAUCGAUCCUGGUGGCCAUUCCUUCAUCAUCGCCAAAUUCAACAUACAAAACCCUGGAUAUACAAAGGUUUUGAAUCUUUUGGUGGAAGAUCUUUGGAUGGCUCUGUUAUAAUCCUCGAGAGCUUGUUUUUCAGUUUCUUCCAUUUCUGUGCUUAGAAAUUGAGCUUAGGAUUAUUAUUUCUUUGUUGUAAAAAGUCAAUUUUGGAAGAAUUAUUAACUUCCUGUUCUGAAGCCGGUGUCAAGAUCGCUGUGCAGAUAUUUUGUUGUCCUCUCCAUCUUCAUACUACGAUUGCUUCGAUUCGCCCUCGCGCGAUCGAUUCAAGACCGCUGGAAAGUGUACUCCAUCGCUUUCAAUUCAAAUUUCUUUCUGCAACUUAUAAUGGCAGGCCGCUGCUCACUUUUCUGGGCAUACUCCAUCUCAUUAGCUUUGAAUCAGUUUGUUCAGUGCGGAUAGUAGGCGUUACGGUUUGGGUAAUCAGUUAGGUCCCUCGUGCAUUUUUGUUUCGAUUUUGGCCUCUUGACAAUAAACGGUGUUGUUGAUAUAUUUCUUGUUGUUUCUGUGAAGUUGGUAUGGUAUGGGGAAAAGCCAACUGAAUAUGAAGAUUUGAUUCACAUACCAAAUGAAAUGGUCAUAAAAUAUGACGAUGAAAAAAAAUCUGAAGAUGAGUUGAUAAAUGCAAUAUUUCCUGCAUUACAAUAGCAUGCAUAUUCGACAGAAUACAUUACACAACGAGCAAUCUUAGCUACAAAGAAUGAAACAGUAGACAAAUUAAAUGACAAACUUAUUGAUCUAUUUUCAGGAGAUAGUGUUACGUAUUAUAGCUUUGAUUCAGCAACUGAUGAUGCAGAAACUCAAUAUCCAGAAGAAUUCCUCAAUUCAUUGGCUCCGAAGGGACUUCCACCUCAUAAAUUAGUUUUGAAGAAGAAUUUUCCAAUAAUGCUUUUAAGGAAUUUGAAUCCUUCACAUGGAGAAUGUAAUGGAACCCGUAUGGUUUGUCGUCAAUUUCAAAAAAAUGUUAUCCUAGCAGAGAUUACAAUGGGACAAUUUACUGGUAACCUUGUUCCUCUUCCUAGAAUCCCACUUUCUCCAGCAGAAAAUGAAGGAUAUCCUUUCCAUUUAAAAAGAGAACAAUUCCCAAUUCGGCUUAGCUUUGCAAUGACAAUAAAUAAAGCACAAGGGCAAACAAUACCACAUGUUGGAGUAUAUCUACCCGAAUCGGUUUUUUCACAUGGACAAUUGUACGUAGCAUUAUCAAGAGGUAUAUCAAUGUCAACAACAAAGGUUUUAGUCAAAGACAACAAGGAAGGAAAAAAAACCAGAUCGUAUACAAGAAACGUGGUCUACAAAGAAGUUCUAUUACCAAGAAGGAUCACUGAUUUGACCACAAAUAUUGAUGAAGAGUAAUGUAGUGGAACCUCAACAAAUCGAGACUUUGAGAAAUUUUGAGGCUGUCAACCAGGAAUCACAACAUUCAGAUCACUCAUUGUUUCACAAGCGACGAAUGAAGUUUUACACAGGCUUUGCAAAUUCAAGUAUGAUAGUGGUACUGUGGAAGAACUCAAUGUUGAUAUGCAAUAUGAAUAGCAGAUGCAAUAGGACAAAUAGUCCUACAAUAUGCCAAAGCAAUAAAGGAAACUGUAUUUAAGCAACUGCGUGUAUUUCGUAAUGGUCAGCUAAGACUUUUUUAUACACUUGAUCUAAAGGGUACUGUGUAAUUACUUGGUUUUAUCUAAAAGUAGUUCUUAAUUCCAAUAGUAUUACUGACUGUCAUUUUCUUUUGCGUGUGAACUUCCUCCAUUAGAUUUUUUAAAUUUAGUAGGUUUUUUAAAAAUGGUAAGGCCCUUUUUCCUGUAUUACUAAAGUGCCUACCAGUUUCUCUUUAUUCAUAUUCCCUUCACUUGAAGGUCUUCAAUUCAAUACCAUAUUUCAACCUGUCACACUGCAACAGUACAUCAGCCUUGAAGAUUUGAGAUAUUGCUCUGAGAUCAACAUCUUCAGAGACCAUCACAGAGGCUGUGUUUUGGUCUGAAAGAAACCCAGGCCAGAAUUUUGCUGACCUUAUUACCUCCCCGACUUAUAUAACCUUUCAUGUAAGUAUGAUGUAUUAGUAGUUAUAUGUAUCUGAAACUCUUUUUUCUUUUGCUGCUACUACUUCUAAUUCUUCAACUCCAGGUCUUCUGUCUUUACUUUGUAAUCCAUGAAGGCUGAACCUUUCAUUGUAAACUGUAGUUUUUAACAUAAGGAAUAUAAUUUAUUUUAUUGAUGCUUAUUUCGUGCUCCCUCCCCUUCCUGUAUUUUGUUUGAGUUGUGAAAUACUUCAUGCCAAAUUUAUUGUUCGUGAUUAUGAGGCUAAAAAAUAUUGUUACUAUGGUUCUUUGCAGGCUGCCAAUGGAGUUAGGUUGUUCACAAUCUUUGAUGCCAUUGCACAAUAUUACUGCUUCAGCAUUGUUCAUCUCAAUACUUUCUUUAAAAAGUGGAAACUGGGGAAGGCUCUCCGAAGAUUUUUCUUUUCUUCCAUUGAGGUCGAGUUUCGGUUUUGUAGAGUAUUUGGUUGCAGCCUUUGUGUCACAAAGGUAAUGGAACUUUGAUAUUGAUUGGGAGUUGUUAUUGGAUUAAAAGUGAGAACCAUUACCUCUUGACAAGUGCAAUGUUUUUUCUUUGAGAGUGGCCUUGCACCACUAACACAAGAGGCCUGCUAUGACCACCGCGUUCCUCUGGGUGCAAGGGUUGCUAAUCUUUUUCUACCCAUUCAUGAUUCGUUUGGUAGUCUGUCUCAUUAAUUUCUUGUAUUUCGAAGUAUAUAUGAAUGAAGGAGAGGGUGUGUUUGGAUCCUCAGAUUCAUCAGCAGCAGAGACACAGAUUUGAAGCCUAACGAUUCAACUUAAGUACUUUUUUAAUCAACUUGGGGGUGAUUCUUUUCUGGAAAAAAUUGUAAUCAUGAAUUCUUCCUAUUACCUUAGGACAAUGUUCAAAGAAACCCAUGCCAUUUUUCCUAUUAC